GUGGGGAAUUUUGGACAAUGGGGGCAACCCUGAUCCAGCAAUGCCGCGUGCAGGAAGAAGGCCUUCGGGUUGUAAACUGCUUUUGUACGGAACGAAACGGUCCUGGCUAAUACCCGGGGCUAAUGACGGUACCGUAAGAAUAAGCACCGGCUAACUACGUGCCAGCAGCCGCGGUAAUACGUAGGGUGCGAGCGUUAAUCGGAAUUACUGGGCGUAAAGCGUGCGCAGGCGGUGCUGUAAGACAGGCGUGAAAUCCCCGGGCUCAACCUGGGAAUUGCGCUUGUGACUGCAGUGCUGGAGUGCGGCAGAGGGGGAUGGAAUUCCGCGUGUAGCAGUGAAAUGCGUAGAUAUGCGGAGGAACACCGAUGGCGAAGGCAAUCCCCUGGGCCUGCACUGACGCUCAUGCACGAAAGCGUGGGGAGCAAACAGGAUUAGAUACCCUGGUAGUCC
rnacentral:rRNA from 1 species